AACGAACGCUGGCGGCAGGCUUAACACAUGCAAGUCGAGCGCCCCGCAAGGGGAGCGGCAGACGGGUGAGUAGCGCGUGGGAACGUACCUUUUGGUUCGGAACAACUCCGGGAAACUGGAGCUAAUACCGGAUAAGCCCUAACGGGGAAAGAUUUAUCGCCGAAAGAUCGGCCCGCGUCUGAUUAGCUAGUUGGUGAGGUAACGGCUCACCAAGGCGACGAUCAGUAGCUGGUCUGAGAGGAUGAUCAGCCACACUGGGACUGAGACACGGCCCAGACUCCUACGGGAGGCAGCAGUGGGGAAUAUUGGACAAUGGGCGCAAGCCUGAUCCAGCCAUGCCGCGUGAGUGAUGAAGGCCUUAGGGUUGUAAAGCUCUUUUGUCCGGGAAGAUAAUGACUGUACCGGAAGAAUAAGCCCCGGCUAACUUCGUG
rnacentral:rRNA from 1 species